UUAAUUAUAAAUAAAGCAGUCCUCCUCAGAGGGGGGUGGUGGAGGGAAUAUUUUAAGAAAUAAAAAUAGGAUCAGUUAACAUAAGGUUAAGAUAAGAUUGUAUAACAUAGGAUUAGAUUAAUUAUAAAUAAAGCAGUCCUCCUUAGAGGGGGGGUGGUGGAGGGAAUAUUUAAGAAAUAAAAAUAGGAUUAAUUAAGAUAAGAUUGUAUAACAUAGGAUUAGAUUAAUUAUAAAUAAAGCAGUCCUCCUCAGAGGGGGGGUGGUGGAGGGAAUAUUUAAGAAAUAAAAAUAGGAUUAAUUCAGAAGGUUAAGAUAAGAUUGUAUAACAUAGGAUUAGAUUAAUUGUAAAUAAAGCAGUCCUCCUUAGAGGGGGGGUGGUGGAGGGAAUAUUUAAGAAAUAAAAAUAGGAUCAGUUAACAUAAGGUUAAGAUUAGAUUGUAUAACAUAGGGCUACAGUGAAGAAAUCAAAAAUUUCAAGGCAGCAUGAAGGUAACGCACAAUCAGGGAUGUGCAAUUUCUGAGGCAUGUAUUCAAAAAAAGUAUUUUAAUUGUGUUUUAUGAUUCAUAUUUGACUUAGUUCAUGAAAUAAAAUGUUUUUUUCUACAGA